GACAAUAUUGAAUACUUAGCUAAUCGAAUUGAAUCGGUCGCCAUGUGCUCAUAAACCGGUUUAUACAUAGCGACAACAGAGUUGAAAUAUCGCAUGUAAAGAUCGAAACGUGGUGAAAAUUCACAAUCAAUGUAUAGGUACUUGGGUGGAUUGACGACAUAAAAUGGUCGGAUCCACGGGUCAAAGUCUAACUCGCACACUGCAAGGAAAUUUGAACAAGCAUGAAAUUACAUUACAUUAUUAGAUUACAUCGAGACUGAAUAACAAUCAUUCACCAAUUCAACAUAUAUGCGAAAAAUAAAAAUAUGAAAGGUUAACAACUCAAAGGGAGUGAAAUAGCUAAAUAUGGGGUAUAGCAGGAUAUGCUUAUUGAUUGCUUUGAACCAAGCCCAAUAACCAUCACUAAUCUAGAAUCCAAAUUAAUCAAAACAGUAUUUUCAAAAUUUAAACAAACAUUAAUAGAGAUAGUUAUGAUGCUUCCUUGUUUCUCGUUUAACCUUAUUAAAAAAAGGGUCAAAAACAAUAAAACUUGCAUUGCUAACUUUUCCAAACAUUACUAACCCGAAUUUAAAACACUACCAAAACAAAAGGGCCCUUGAGAAAACCAAUUGAGAUACAUGAAUGAUUUUUGAAAAAAAGGAAAAGGGCAAAGGUACCGAUCGGAAUCAGGGAUACGGCGGUAGUCUUGAGCGGAAAAUGGAGGAUCCGCAAAGGUUUCAUGUGUGGUCAUCAUCGUGGUGUUACCGGGCACGUCCACGAAGAGAAUACAAAUCACGACGGAGGCUCACGGAGGAGGUAAGGGAAGACAAUAGGUGUCUGUUGAUGGAGGCGGAGGAGACAAUGGAUGGAGGUUGAAGAAGAUGGAACAUUUUGUGUAGUGUUUGUUGAUGGAAGAAUUUUGGAAAACUUGACCAUGUAUGUCCCUAUUCUUGCUCAACGAAAUUGUCGUAUGGACCAGUCAAUCGAAAGGCCUCCAUUACCAUUUUUUCACCUUUUGAAUUGAGCAUGCAGUUACAAUAACUACUGAUUCAAAGUCUCUAAACUCUGUUGUGCAUCAAAGUCAACAUCAGACCACCAACAACCGAAUCCAGGAUCUGAAUACGUUUAAGCCACAUUUGAUUAUUUUGAAAAGAGAAACAGAUGAGAUAUUAAUCUGAUGUUGUGAGAAGUAUUGUGUCGUCGCGGUAUUGAUGUUUGCGCGAAACAGAGAAAUUCGCCGGAAGUAAGGCAACAUUGUUGGUUUUUGAGGAGGUUCGAAAAUGGUGUGUUCGAUGAGGGUAUCACCUGUGGGUUUAACGACGGAGGGAGAGAGAACAGAUCGGAGUUAUGAAGGAGUGAGGGAGUCACAAAUUGAAAGUUUGUUGGGUUGCUAGGGUUGCAAGAGUGGUGGUAUUAUGUCGUGCGAGACGGAAGUGUGAUGUCGACGGGAUGAUGGAGUGAAGGUUGCGUUUGACGAAGAUUGCAGCGUGGCGGAGCAAGGAAGGUUUGUGGAUAGUGCUAAAGAAGGAAGGUUGACGAAGGACAGAGGGAGAUGGAGUAUUGUGUUUAAGGGUCGAUGUUGUCGACGUCAGUGUAGGGGGCGUUCGAAGGAGAUAACGGUUUUGACGGUGGGUUUCACGGUUGAAGGUGGUGUGGUGAGCGUGGAGUUUAGCAGAGUUGGUGUUUGGAGAAAGUGAUUUCGAUGGAGUUGGUUGAGGCGGAGAGUUCGGAUUGAAAGUUGUAAAGAUGAUGAACAGUAGCCUCCCUUUGUAUUUUCGUUUUCUUUUUCUCUUAAAGUUUGAAGAGGCGUCUUUUGUUAGAGAGAGAAGAGAGGACCGGUGACGUGUCCGAAAAGAAUCAGCAGAGUUUUUCUUUUUCUAUUCUUAACGUUGGAGAGAGAUCCCCUAGAGUGCUCGUUGUCCCCUUUUUUAUUCUUUUUCCUUUUAGAAUCGUUAUGGAUCACACGUGAGAAAAAUAAUUCAUUAGCUGUCAAUAGAGGAAUCCUAUGGAUAUUCCCCAAUUGAAAACGGACAUGUGGCAUCGUUCAUGGAUGAGGAAUUGAGAUUUUGCUGAAUGGUUUUUAUUAAUAUUAAUUCAAUUAAUUGUUUUUUUUAAUUGGCUAGAAAGAAAUUACAUGGAUUGCAAAUAUGGGUCUUUGCUUAAUCUCGAUUUAAUGGCCGAGAUCGAAUGAAAGAAACACAAAUUGUAACCAACUUUAAAAAUGUCUAAAAUGCCCCUUCUAGAUGAUUUAAUUCUUUUAAACAAUUUAAAUCCAUCAAAUCAAAUAAAAUCGACAAUUUUUAAAAUGAAUGUGAUAAAAAUAAAAUAAAGACAUGGAUAUUCCUAUUUAAAUUUUUUGAAUAUUUUGGCGAAAGAAUAAAAAUAAAAUGACUGAAAAUGAAUAAAUGUCGGGUGAAAAUUUUCCCGAAAAAUUAAAUCGGACGCACUAAAAUUAUCAGCACAAAAUAUACUUAUUGAAAAAAUACAAUGUUUCUUUUAAUUUUGAAAUAAAUUUUCAUCGGUUAAAAGGCUCAUACGGAUUAAAAUGCGACUGAAAAAGUCAUCGAAAAAUAUAACGAGUACACUAGGUUAAACUAUGUGAGCCGUAGAUUAAUAAUAUUGGUGUCUGUAAGUUUAAUUUUGAAACUUUUAUCAGCUGAUUUUGCACGUACUUAAGAAAUGAUUUAACCAAAUUAGCUGUAUAUUCCAGAGUUUAUUCUGACUGAUAUUUUAGGUAUUAUUCAUGAUGAAAUGCAUGUGAAUGAUGCAAACUGAAACUAAAAUCGAAUUUAUAAAAAAUUUAAAAUGCCCGGACAAAAUUAGGGUGUAGCGGGGUAUUCGGUACCAUUAGAGAUAUUGAUUAAACCUAAGGUAAACCAUACAAAUCGAGUCGCCACCGCACUUCUAUUUAUCCAAAUGAAUGGUUAGAAAGCGAACAAAAACCUAAAAGUUUUAUUGAAUCAAAAACUAGUAAAAAUGUCAGAGAUCGGGGUAAGGGGGUUGGUUAUGCAAUGUGAAGGUUUUAAGCACCCAAAACAUCCUAGGUACUCCUAGGGAGCCCUUUUCACAUUUGUUGAAAGGUUGGUAUUUUGUGAAAAAAAAAUUGUGCAAACAUGAUUGAAGAUAUGAGAAGAGAAUAUACAAGUUAUUUACAUUUUGUGUUUGGAUGGAUAAACCCAUUGCCUACGUACCACCUUAAAAGAUUAUGAUCAAAACCUCGUAGUUCGGGAUAAAAAUCUCAAAACAAUUUGGUGAAUUGAUUGGUCCAAAAGCCUUAAGGUCUUUUGUUAUCCAAGGGAGAAAACUCAACCUAAAACCACAAAUCCACCAUGUGAGGAUAGCUUCAACAUGCUAGUGAGGGGUUAACCCUAUAAUAAGCAUGGAAGACUCAUUGUCCAUCACUAAGGAUAUAGGUGAGUAUUACAUCUACCUCAAGGAUAACUCAAACCUAAUAGCUAAAGGUUAUGAAAAGUUUUGAUUAAGAGAGUGGCCAUUGAAACCACAAAAAACAUUUGAAUGGGUUAUAUUUACCAAUGAAAAGUAUUUAUAAAAUAUGGUCAAAGUUGACUUAAAAAUUCAAUUCAAAAUAAGUGUUAUGAAAAGAAAGUUUAAAAAUAAAAAGCAUAAGGCUUAGGUUUCUAAUAUUGAAAACAAAUGUUAAAUGUUUGCACAAAAGUUUUAGUUUGGGUUAGAGUGGAGGGAAGAAGAAGAAUGGCUAAGGUCCUAAACAUACAAGAGAUAAG
rnacentral:lncRNA from 1 species